rnacentral:rRNA from 1 species
GACGAACGCUGGCGGCGUGCUUAACACAUGCAAGUGGAGCGACGAACCAGGGCUUGCCCUGGGGCAGAGCCGCGAACGGGUGAGUAACACGUGGGUAACCUACCCCGAUGACCGGGACAACCCGAGGAAACUCGGGCUAAUACCGGAUGUUGUCGUUUUCUCUAAGGAAACCGACUAAAGAUAGCUUCGGCCUUCGCAUCGGGACGGGCCCGCGGCCCAUUAGCUUGUUGGUGGGGUAACGGCCUACCAAGGCGACGAUGGGUAGCUGGUCUGAGAGGACGAUCAGCCACACUGGGACUGAGACACGGCCCAGGAUCCUACGGGAGGCAGCAGUGGGGAAUCUUGCGCAAUGGGCGAAAGCCUGACGCAGCAACGCCGCGUGGGGGAAGAAGGCCUUCGGGUUGUAAACCCCUUUCAGUUGGGACGAAGCUUCCAGAGUUAAUAGCUUUGUGGAGUGACGGUACCUUCAGAAGAAGCCCCGGCUAACUACGUGCCAGCCGCCGCGGUAAUAC